CACCGGUGGCCCGAGUGGUAAUCACUAUUAUUGGGUCUAAAGGGUCCGUAGCCGGUUUAAUCAGUCUUCCGGGAAAUCUGACAGCUCAACUGUUAGGCUUC
rnacentral:rRNA from 1 species